rnacentral:rRNA from 1 species
AUGGCGAUGGCCGCCGCCGGGCGGUGCCUCCUCCUCUCCCGCCCCUCCCCUCUCCGCCUCCGCGUGCUCCGCGCCGCCCUCUCCACCGCAGUCCCCCCUUCCUCCCCCGCCCUCGCCGCCCCCGCGCCCCCUCCCCGCCACGAGCUCCUCCUCGAGCGCCUCCGCCUCCGCCACCUCAAGGACUCGUCGUCCCCCGGCCCCCCGAAGCCGCUGAGGGAGAGGGCCAGGAGCGGGGAGAGGGGCUCACCGCAGCAGCAGCAGAGGAGUGUUGAGGUGGAGAGCUUCGAGGAGCUCGGGCUAGAGGAGGAGGUCCUGGCCGCGAUGCGGGAGGCUGGCAUCACGAAGCCGACCGAGAUCCAGUGCGUCGGCGUGCCCGCCGUGCUCUCCGGCACCAGUGUUGUGCUUGGCUCGCACACCGGCUCCGGGAAGACGCUCGCCUACUUGCUCCCUCUCGUCCAGCUACUGCGUCAUGAUGAAGUGACGCUGGGUAUGUCAAUGAAGCCAAGGCGGCCAAGAGCUGUAGUUUUAUGCCCAACAAGGGAGCUGACUGAGCAGGUCUUCCGUGUUGCAAAGUCUAUAAGCCAUCAUGCACGUUUUCGGUCAACGAUGGUUAGUGGAGGCACUCGUCUAAAACCCCAGGAAGAUUCUUUGAACAUGCCUGUUGACAUGGUUGUUGGGACACCUGGAAGGAUCCUUGAUCAUAUAAAGGAGGGCAAUAUCGUUUACGGCGACAUUAAAUAUCUGGUUCUGGAUGAGGCAGACACAAUGUUUGACCAAGGCUUUGGAGAAGACAUACGAAAGUUUCUUGCUCCUUUGAAGAAUCGUGCUUCAAAGCCUGGUGAUCAAGGAUUCCAAACCAUAUUGGUGUCUGCUACCAUGACCAAGGGAGUACAAAAGUUGAUCGAUGAGGAAUUUGAAGGUAUUGAGCAUUUACGGACAUCAACCUUUCAAAAGAGAAUUGCAACUGCACGGCAUGACUUCAUCAAACUUUCUGGUUCGGAGAACAAACUCGAGGCUCUCCUGCAGGUUCUUGAGCCAAGCUUAGCAAAAGGAAACAAAGUUAUGGUGUUUUGCAACACUUUGAAUUCAAGUCGUGCAGUGGACCAUUUUCUAACAGAAAAUCAUAUAUCUACUGUUAACUACCAUGGAGAAGUCCCUGCGGAGGAGAGAGUUGAGAACCUAAACAAGUUCCGGAAUGAAGAGGGGGAUUGCCCAACAUUAGUCUGCACUGAUCUGGCAGCUAGAGGACUAGACUUGGAGGUUGACCAUGUCAUCAUGUUUGACUUCCCAAAAAACUCUAUUGAUUAUCUCCACAGAACAGGGAGAACGGCGCGUAUGGGAGCCAAAGGGAAAGUUACAAGCCUUAUCGCAAAGAAAGAUGUGGGUUUAGCGACAAGGAUCGAAGACGCCAUGAAGAAAAACGAGAGCUUAGAAUCGCUGACGACUAGCAAUGUCAGGAGGGAUUCCGCUAACUCUCAAAACCCAAGCACCAAAGGAAGGACUUCUGCAAGGUCGGCAAGGAGUUCAGAUGCUCCGAGGGUUGCUAGCCAGAAGGGUAACAAAAGGGGAGUCACACUGUCGAGAAGGCCGCCAAAGGUCGCCAUCAAGGACACAACUUCAACCAGAAAGCGGUCGUCGACCAAGAGCCAGCCAUCUUCGUCCAGGAAGCACUCACCGUCUAAGAACCCGCCGAAGGCCAGGCCGGCAGAGGCCAGAAAGGCCAAGCCGGUGAGGGCUGGUAGCAGCAAGGGCGGCGAGAAGGUCGGGAAGAGCAGCAGAACCAGGCCGGAAGGCGGGAAGGGGGAUGCUCUGAAUAAGGUGGGAAGUAAGUUGAGCGUGGUUGGAUUCAGAGGGCGCAGCACCGCGAAGUCGGCGCAGGCUUACCACGGUAAUCGCUCCUGA